UAGGGAAUCUUCCGCAAUGGACGCAAGUCUGACGGAGCAACGCCGCGUGAGUGAAGAAGGAUUUCGGUUCGUAAAACUCUGUUGUUAGAGAAGAACAGCGCAUAGAGUAACUGUUAUGCGUGUGACGGUAUCUAACCAGAAAGCCACGGCUAACUACGUGCCAGCAGCCGCGGUAAUACGUAGGUGGCAAGCGUUGUCCGGAUUUAUUGGGCGUAAAGCGAGCGCAGGCGGUCAAUUAAGUCUGAUGUGAAAGCCCCCGGCUCAACCGGGGAGGGUCAUUGGAAACUGGUUGACUUGAGUGCAGAAGAGGAGAGUGGAAUUCCAUGUGUAGCGGUGAAAUGCGUAGAUAUAUGGAGGAACACCGGUGGCGAAAGCGGCUCUCUGGUCUGUAACUGACGCUGAGGCUCGAAAGCGUGGGGAGCAAACAGG
rnacentral:rRNA from 1 species